AAACCAACAGGGAUUGCCUCAGUAACGGCGAGUGAAGCGGCAACAGCUCAAAUUUGAAAUCUGGCCUCACGGUCCGAGUUGUAAUUUGUAGAGGAUGCUUUUGGCGAGGUGCUUUCCGAGUUCCCUGGAACGGGACGCCAUAGAGGGUGAGGGCCCCGUACGGUAAGACCACCGAGCCUCUGUAAAGCUCCUUCGACGAGUCGAGUAGUUUGGGAAUGCUGCUCUAAAUGGGAGGUGUACGUCUUCUAAAGCUAAAUACCGGCCAGAGACCGAUAGCGCACAAGUAGAGUGAUCGAAAGAUGAAAAGCACUUUGAAAAGAGGGUUAAAAAGUACGUGAAAUUGUUGAAAGGGAAGCAUUCAUGACCAGACUUGGGCUUGGUUGAACAUCCGGCGUUCUCGCCGGUGCACUCUGCCAGUCCAGGCCAGCAUCAGUUUGCCCCGGGGGACAAAGGCGGUGGGAAUGUGGCUCCCUUCGGGGAGUGUUAUAGCCCGCCGUGUAAUGCCCUGGGGCGGACUGAGGAACGCGCUUCGGCACGGAUGCUGGCGUAAUGGUCAUCAAUGAC
rnacentral:rRNA from 1 species